GUAGCCGCACGUUUCAAGCACACAAACUGAAAACGCGAAAGCAAUUAUCAUCAUCUGGAGAAAACAGAACAUAGUAACGUUCUUCUUUGUUCAUGAAUUCCUACCAACUUUACAUGUUCUACUCUCCAUUCCGCGUUCUGACAUCUCCAUGCACAAAGCCACCAAACACGCCUCUCUUUCUUUUGUUUCAUGCCAACACAAACUCUAUCUUCUUCCCCUCACCAACCCUCCUUUGUUCGUCCCUCAGCGAUGACUCCUUUUCCACCCCUAAACCAAACCAGGCACUCUCUCUCUCUCUCUUUUUAUUCUCUUACAUUGUUUUUUACUUUUUUUAUUGUUAUUGUCUACGUUUAAACCUUAAAGCAAACAAAACCGCGACAUUAUUUAUUUAUUUAUGUUUGGAUGAUACAAUGAUGUUUCUGUGAUAGUUGGGUUACAAUCCUUCCGAGGAACUGUACGGGCUGGAGGUCGAACUCAAGCCAAGCAAGGCUAACUCUCAUACACCAGAACCAAAGUCUUGGUUUGGUCCACAUGGACAGUAUAUCAAAGAGCUACCUUGUCCAAGUUGCCGGGGAAGAGGUUAUACUCCCUGUUCAGAGUGUGGAAUAGAAAGAUCAAGGCCAGACUGUCCAAAAUGUCAUGGAAAGGGUAUACUGACUUGCAACCAGUGCUAUGGAGAUUGUGUUAUAUGGGAAGAAUCAAUUGACGAACAACCAUGGGAGAGAGCCCGUUCUAUUUCUCCACUUAAAGUGAUGGAAGAUGAUGAAGUUGACAAGUUAGACAUAAAGCUAGAUGUGAAGAAAAAAUCCAAGCGUGUCUACCAGUCACCAUCUCCAGAAGUCGGAUUAAAGAUUAGUCGUUCAUUAAAAUUUAAUAAUUGCAGAGUCUCAAUGCCAAAACUGGUCUAUUUAGUAACCGAAUGAAGAUUAUCCAUCGGGAUCCCAAGCUUCGGGCACAGCGAGUGGCUGCUAUUAAGAGGGCCAAGGGAACUGUUGCAGCAAGAAAGCACAUUUCCAAAGUUAUGAAAGCUUUCUUUAGUGAUCCAAUAAACCGUCAGAAAAGGAGCAUGGCCAUGAAGGGUGUGAAAUUCUACUGCCAAAACUGUGGACGUGAAGGGCAUAGACGAAACUACUGUCCCGAACUCAAGGAUAGUUUGAUUGACCGGCGAUUCACAUGUAGUUUAUGUGGGGAAAAGGGCCACAACAGAAGGACAUGUAGAAAGUUAAGAAUAAGCCAUAGCAAUGGGAAAGUUAUAAAACACCAUAGAUGUAAAAUAUGUCGCCAAUAUGGCCAUAACAGCAGGACAUGCUCUCAAGUUGUUCCUAAUAAACGAAGGGUUAAGGCUUCUCGAAAAGCAUACCAAUGUCGGUUAUGCCAGAAAGAGGGACAUAAUAUUAGGACAUGUCCUAGUAGAGGUGUUGUAACUGAACAUCCAUAAGAUUAAUAAGCCUACUGUGAGAAACACAAGCGCCUCAACCUAAAUCUUAAUGUGGACGGUAAUCAGAACUGGAAAAAUUUUGCUCAAUCUUUUGUAUCUGCAGCACAACCCGUUGAGUAAUGCCAAUUAGCCAAAACAUUGACAAAAUUCAGCUAGGUUUAAGGGUGGCUGUUGGAUGAGAUGAAAUAAUAGUAGGGGUAUAGCAUUCAGCUUAUCUUAAUUUGUUUCAAGUCUAUCAUCGUGUUAUCUCAAAAUGGGAAUGCAACAUACGUAGAGCAUCUUGGAUGUAUUGAAAUUUCCACCAUCUAGUUUGAUGUUAUGGAUGGAGGUUUUGAAUUUUUAGUCAUUUUACCAAAUUUUACAUCAGACUAUGUUAUGUUAUUUCAUGUAUUUGCAUUCUUAAUAAGUUGUAUUAUUAUAUGUUUAAAUACGUUUCUAGUUUCUUAAAAAAUGACAUUCUUUG